rnacentral:rRNA from 1 species
AGAAGAAGCACCGGCCAACUACGUGCCAGCAGCCGCGGUAAUACGUAGGGUGCGAGCGUUGUCCGGAAUUAUUGGGCGUAAAGAGCUCGUAGGCGGUCUGUCACGUCGUUCGUGAAAACUUGGGGCUUAACCCUGAGCUUGCGGUCGAUACGGGCAUGACUUGAGUUCGGCAGGGGAGACUGGAAUUCCUGGUGUAGCGGUGAAAUGCGCAGAUAUCAGGAGGAACACCGGUGGCGAAGGCGGGUCUCUGGGCCGAUACUGACGCUGAGGAGCGAAAGCGUGGGGAGCGAACAGGCUUAGAUACCCUGGUAGUCCACGCUGUAAACGGUGGGUACUAGGUGUGGGGUCCAUUCCACGGGUUCCGUGCCGUAGCUAACGCUUUAAGUACCCCGCCUGGGGAGUACGGCCGCAAGGCUAAAACUCAAAGGAAUUGACGGGGGCCCGCACAAGCGGCGGAGCAUGCGGAUUAAUUCGAUGCAACGCGAAGAACCUUACCAAGGCUUGACAUGCACGGGAAAGUUCCAGAGAUGGUUCCCCCGCAAGGUCCGUGCACAGGUGGUGCAUGGUUGUCGUCAGCUCGUGUCGUGAGAUGUUGGGUUAAGUCCCGCAACGAGCGCAACCCUCGUUCCAUGUUGCCAGCGCGUUAUGGCGGGGACUCAUGGGAGACUGCCGGGGUCAACUCGGAGGAAGGUGGGGAUGACGUCAAGUCAUCAUGCCCCUUAUGUCCAGGGCUUCACACAUGCUACAAUGGCCAGUACAGAGGGCUGCGAGACCGUGAGGUGGAGCGAAUCCCUUAAAGCUGGUCUCAGUUCGGAUCGGGGUCUGCAACUCGACCCCGUGAAGUUGGAGUCGCUAGUAAUCGCAGAUCAGCAACGCUGCGGUGAAUACGUUCCCGGGCCUUGUACACACCGCCCGUCAC